CGAGCGGAUGCAGGGAGCUUGCUCCUGGACUUCAGCGGCGGACGGGUGAGUAAUGCCUAGGAAUCUGCCUGGUAGUGGGGGAUAACGUCCGGAAACGGGCGCUAAUACCGCAUACGUCCUGAGGGAGAAAGUGGGGGAUCUUCGGACCUCACGCUAUCAGAUGAGCCUAGGUCGGAUUAGCUAGUUGGUGGGGUAAAGGCCUACCAAGGCGACGAUCCGUAACUGGUCUGAGAGGAUGAUCAGUCACACUGGAACUGAGACACGGUCCAGACUCCUACGGGAGGCAGCAGUGGGGAAUAUUGGACAAUGGGCGAAAGCCUGAUCCAGCCAUGCCGCGUGUGUGAAGAAGGUCUUCGGAUUGUAAAGCACUUUAAGUUGGG
rnacentral:rRNA from 1 species